GUCUGUAACCAGUAACUAGUCUAGGGAGAGACCUGUUGUCUGUAACCAGUAACUGGUCUAGGGAGAGACCUGUUGUCUUUAGUUAAAUUUAUUUAAAUGAAUGUAAUACACAUUAUUAUAUCCUUCUGGCUAAAUCCCAAAUGGCACCCUAAAUGACCAGUUCAAAAGUAGUGCACUUUAUAGGGAACAGGGUGUCAUUUGGGCCAAAUAUAGGAUAAUUUGACUGUAGCCUUCUGCGUUCAGCAGAGACCACUUUUUCCUUGUUGGCACUUUAUCUGUUGGUUAGUAGGUGUUAUUAUAUUAUUGAACCUCUUGAGCCAUACGCUAUUGGGUUAGUCAGACUGAUCAGCAAGUCUCAAUAAGGUGUUGGGAUCAACAAGUCUCAAAAAGGUGUUGGGUUAGUCAGGCUGAUCAACAAGUCUCAAUAAGGUGUUGGGUUAGUCAGGCUGAUCAACAAGUCUCAAUAAGGUGUUGGGAUCAACAAGUCUCAAUAAGGUGUUGGGUUAGUCAGGCUGAUCAGCAGGUCUCAAUAAGGUGUUGGGUUAGUCAGGCUGAUCAACAAGUCUCAAUAAGGUGUUGGGUUAGUCAGGCUGAUCAACAAGUCUCAAUAAGGUGUUGGGUUAGUCAGGCUGAUCAGCAAGUCUCAAGUCUCAAACACCUUAGUAAUAUAUUCUGUCCAUGGACUCAUGCUACUCAUAUUCACUGGGGUUGUGUGUCCCAAAUGGCAACUCAUUCUACAUUUGACC
ensembl:lncRNA